rnacentral:rRNA from 1 species
GAUGAACGCUGGCGGCGUGCCUAAUACAUGCAAGUCGAGCGAACAGAUGAGGAGCUUGCUCCUCUGACGUUAGCGGCGGACGGGUGAGUAACACGUGGAUAACCUACCUAUAAGACUGGGAUAACUUCGGGAAACCGGAGCUAAUACCGGAUAAUAUAUUGAACCGCAUGGUUCAAUAGUGAAAGACGGUUUUGCUGUCACUUAUAGAUGGAUCCGCGCUGCAUUAGCUAGUUGGUAAGGUAACGGCUUACCAAGGCAACGAUGCGUAGCCGACCUGAGAGGGUGAUCGGCCACACUGGAAGUGAGACACGGUCCAGACUCCUACGGGAGGCAGCAGUAGGGAAUCUUCCGCAAUGGGCGAAAGCCUGACGGAGCAACGCCGCGUGAGUGAUGAAGGUCUUCGGAUCGUAAAACUCUGUUAUUAGGGAAGAACAAAUGUGUAAGUAACUGUGCACGUAUUGACGGUACCUAAUCAGAAAGCCACGGCUAACUACGUG